rnacentral:rRNA from 1 species
UACGUAGGGUGCGAGCGUUAAUCGGAAUUACUGGGCGUAAAGCGUGCGCAGGCGGUUAUUUAAGUCAGGUGUGAAAGCCCUGGGCUUAACCUAGGAAUUGCGCUUGAGACUGGAUAGCUUGGAGUGACGGCAGAGGGAGGUGGAAUUCCACGUGUAGCAGUGAAAUGCGUAGAGAUGUGGAGGAACACCGAUGGCGAAGGCAGGCCUC